GAUGAACGCUGGCGGCGCGCCUAACACAUGUCAAGUCGAACGGUUAAAGCAUCUUCGGAUGUGUAUAAAGUGGCGAACGGCUGAGUAACACGUGGGCAACCUGAGCCUUUGCACUGGGAUAGCCUCGGGAAACCGAGGUUAAUACCGGAUACUCCAUAUUUGUCGCAUGGCGAAUAUGGGAAAGCUCCGGCGGCAAAGGAUGGGCCCGCGGCCUGUUAGCUAGUUGGUGGGGUAGUGGCCUACCAAGGCAAUGAUGGGUAGCCGGGUUGAGAGACCGACCGGCCAGAUUGGGACUGAGACACGGCCCAGACUCCUACGGGAGGCAGCAGUGGGGAAUCUUGCACAAUGGGCGAAAGCCUGAUGCAGCGACGCCGCGUGCGGGAUGAAGGCCUUCGGGUUGUAAACCGCUUUCAGCAGGGGCGAGGCCGCAAGGUGACGGUACCUGCAGAAGAAGCCCCGGCUAACUACGUGCCAGCAGCCGCGGUAAUACGUAGGGGGCAAGCGUUAUCCGGAUUCAUUGGGCGUAAAGCGCGCGUAGGCGGUCUGUUAGGUCAGGAGUUAAAUCUGGGGGCUCAACCCCUAUCCGCUCCUGAUACCGGCAGGCUUGAGUCUGGUAGGGGAAGAUGGGAAUUCCAAGUGUAGCGGUGAAAUGCGCAGAUAUUUGGAAGAACACCGGUGGCGAAGGCGGUCUUCUGGGCCAUGACUGACGCUGAGGCGCGAAAGCUAGGGGAGCGAACAGGAUUAGAUACCCUGGUAGUCCUAGCUGUAAACGAUGGACACUAGGUGUGGGGAGAUUAUACUUUCCGUGCCGCAGCUAACGCAUUAAGUGUCCCGCCUGGGGAGUACGGUCGCAAGACU
rnacentral:rRNA from 2 species